GCCCGACUAGCUCACCGGUAGAGCGCCUCACUAGUACCUUCCCUCAUAGGUUUAUGAGGAGGCAACAGGUUCGACUCCUGUGUUGGGCA